ACUCCUACGGGAGGCAGCAGUGGGGAAUCUUGGACAAUGGGCGCAAGCCUGAUCCAGCCAUGCCGCGUGAGUGAUGAAGGCCCGUAGGGUCGUAAAGCUCUUUCGCCAGGGAUGAUAAUGACAGUACCUGGUAAACGAAACCCCGGCUAACUCCGUGCCAGCAGCCGCGGUAAUACGGAGGGGUUAGCGUUGUUCGGAAUUACUGGGCGUAAAGCGCGCGUAGGCGGAUUAGUCAGUUAGAGGUGAAAUCCCAGGGCUCAACCUGGAACUGCCUUUAAUACUGCUAGUCUUGAGUUCGAGAGAGGUGAGUGGAAUUCCGAGUGUAGAGUGAAAUUCGUAGAUAUUCGGAGGAACACCAGUGGCGAAGGCGGCUCACUGGCUCGAUACUGACGCUGAGGUGCGAAAGGUGUGGGGAGCAAACAGGAUUAGAUACCCUGGUAGGAUAGCG
rnacentral:rRNA from 1 species